GAACAUUGGGCAGGCCAAAUCCACGGUUGCUGCUUCUGCUGCUGUUGCAAUUAACCGACACCUUAAUAUUGAAGCUUUGCAGAACCGAGUUAGUCCUGAGACUGAAAAUGUCUUUGAUGAUAGCUUUUGGGAGAAUUUGAGUGUCGUAGUUAAUGCACUAGACAACGUCAAUGCAAGGCUAUAUGUUGAUCAAAGGUGCUUAUACUUCCAGAAGCCACUUUUAGAAU
rnacentral:misc_RNA from 1 species